CAUAUUCGACGAUUCAACAUAUCUCUCUUCCUCUAAACUUUCCACCUCCCCUAUAUCUUCAUGUCCGUCUCUUCCUUACCUUAUUCAACGUUUCUGCAACCUAUACAAUGAAUCUUCUGUUUACAUUAACUCCACCAAACUCUAUGUCUCCCUCCUUUUACAUUCAAAGCUUCAUGCGUAUCUAAACCGGAUGCACCUCAAACCCUAUAAAUAGGAGAGCGUUGAGAGUGGAAUCAAGCAGCACCAACACGAUCUCUCAGUUUGUUUUCUCUCCAAACCCUACAAUCUUCCUAGGAAAAUGAUUUCAUGUUGCCCAAUCAAAGAGAAGAACGGAGAAUCAAGAAAAACAGAGAAAACAAAAAAAUUCACUCCAAAUCAUCCUAGGUUCACCUUCUCAACAAUCAGUGAUGACAUGUAAUUUGGCACUCAGGCAGAGAGUGGCAGCAGCAACCCUGUUCGAUUUCAGCCAGAUAUUUAGGGAAGAUGUAGCAAUAUAAAUGUUUUGAGUAAUCAUCUGCUUCAAAACCCAAAUUUAUCAGAUGCCAACAGAGAGGUGAGAAUUUGAUUUUGCUGUAUUUGUUGUCCCUAUCCCAACUGAGUUUUUCAGCUUGCUACCUCUUUAGUCUUUAACACAACUACUACCAAUUUCCAAACUAACCACUUUACAACUACUCAGGGACACGAUUGUGUGUCUAAGUGUUUUUGAGGCCUUGCGGACUCCUACACAAGAAAUUGGAAGCAACUCGGUUUCUCUAUCCGAGUCUUCGGGUAAGGAUACGGUUGUAGCGAAGGAAAGCAAAUUUUCUGGAGCAAGAAGAGGCUCUAACGCUGACGUGGAAGAAAAAUAAGAUUUGUUCUGUUCAGACCAUCUGGCAAGUAAAGUAAAGUAAAGUAAAGUAAAAUAGAGCUUGAAUGUAUAACAAACAGAGUUUUGAGGGUUGAUUUUGUUGUGUGUUUAUUUUGGAAAAGCAGGUGGUUGUUCUUAGAGUAUCUCUUCACUGUCACUGUAGAGGCAAAGUGAAGAGACAUCUAUCUAGGAUGCAAUGUCAAUCUCUUCUUAUCAUUUUUCCUUUCACCAAGGAUUUUCCUUCUCAUCCAUUUACGAUA